UACGGAGUGUGCGAGCGUUAAUCGGAAUUACUGGGCGUAAAGGGCGCGUAGGCGGUGGGUUACGUCUGCCGUGAAAUCCCCGGGCUCAACCUGGGAAUGGCGGUGGAAACGGGCUGACUGGAGUAUGGGAGAGGGUGAUGGAAUUCCCGGUGUAGCGGUGAAAUGCGUAGAGAUCUGGAGGAACACCAGUGGCGAAGGCGGUCACCUGGCCCAAUACUGACGCUGAGGCGAGAAAGCGUGGGGAGCAAACAGG
rnacentral:rRNA from 1 species